GCCGGGGUUGCCGAGUCUGGUAAAGGCGGGGGCCUCGAGAGCCUCUGGCGUUAUGCCACGCGGGUUCAAAUCCUGCCCCCGGCA
rnacentral:tRNA from 2 species